rnacentral:rRNA from 1 species
AGUGAACGCUGGCGGUAGGCCUAACACAUGCAAGUCGAACGGCAGCACAGUAAGAGCUUGCUCUUACGGGUGGCGAGUGGCGGACGGGUGAGGAAUACAUCGGAAUCUACUUUUUCGUGGGGGAUAGCGUAGGGAAACUUACGCUAAUACCGCAUACGACCUACGGGUGAAAGCAGGGGAUCUUCGGACCUUGCGCGAUUGAAUGAGCCGAUGUCGGAUUAGCUAGUUGGCGGGGUAAAGGCCCACCAAGGCGACGAUCCGUAGCUGGUCUGAGAGGAUGAUCAGCCACACUGGAACUGAGACACGGUCCAGACUCCUACGGGAGGCGGCAGUGGGGAAUAUUGGACAAUGGGCGCAAGCCUGAUCCAGCCAUACCGCGUGGGUGAAGAAGGCCUUCGGGUUGUAAAGCCCUUUUGUUGGGAAAGAAAAGCAGCAGGUUAAUACCCCGCUGUUCUGACGGUACCCAAAGAAUAAGCACCGGCUAACUUCGUG